AUAAACACUGUGUGUGUUAGUGUUGUAAAUAGAUACACAAAAACAAUAAAAGGUUGGGGUAGAUCACUGAAUAAACCCAAAUUAACAUCAGCUGUGCUUACAAUAUAUGGAUCCAUUCUCUCUGGCACCAGACAGUACUGUAGACAUCAAAUGAAGUUAUGAAUUCCAAUCAUAUUCUAAAUUUCUUUCACCGUGUUGGAAAAUUACAUUCACCAGUUUAUCCUAUGGCAACUUUAAGAUGUAACCAUGCAGUCAACCUCUCCUUAAGACCACCAAGAUUGAAGGUAUUGGACCCAGUGAGUGCUGACUGUUUUUUAUCAAUAUCGAGUUCUCAGUAAGGUGUUAUGUUGCCUGCAACACACGAUCGAGGAAUGCACUCCUGGAGAGCAGAUGGAGAACUGAACACUGAUGAAAACAAGGAAGCAGAAAGGAGCAUUGGGAGCAGGAAUGUUUUGCUGCCAGAGCAUUUUCUUCCUCUGGCUUUUUAUUCAGUGCUGCAUAAUGAUGCCCUUUGUACUGGCAGGGGUGAUGGUUGCAGAUGGACUGGUGAUGGCAGCACACAAACUACAGCUGUUGGUACAUGGCAAGCAGAUUUGCUGUCAUGCAUUAUGACACAGCCAACAAAGAGCCUGCAAAUAGUUGGAGGCUGAGAUUCUGUACAGCUGUUGUGAAGAAAAGAUGGCAUGUAAAACUUUAGAGAAGUAGGUAAUUAGUGAACAAGUUAUAUUAAAAAGAUCUGUAGCAUUAUUUCUGUGGUAUUUUAAUGUUACUUUCAAGUGGCAGUUAUCCAUUGUUUACACUCUUUUUUCCACUUUUCUCUUUGCUGUGUUUGGUUCUGUUUAUGUUCUCAGCUUGAGCCACAAAGUGGGUAUUGAACAAGGCGUUGAGAAUCAAUUUGACCCACUCAGAUGGCAUCAAGAAAAUUCAGGUAAAACCCAGCGUUAAACUUAACAGCAUGCAAUAUAUCCCACAGCUUCCCAAUAAAGGGUGCCUCCUAAAAUCCUCAAAUAGCUGCAUUUUAUUGGGUUAGAAGCUCCAUUAAUGUCCCCCAAAUCCAGCAGCUUCAGCAUUCUUACAGUGCUCACAAUGCAGGAGCUGAGCUGCAGAAUUGUCAUCGUAAAUUCAGCACUUAAACCAUUUCCCAGGACUAGAGAAUGUAUCUAUUUCCCCUGUACAAUUUGCCUUUUUCCCUUGCAUAAGUGUAUAACUUCUCACCUCACUAUUAUUUCUUUCACCUUGAUGCCUUUGCCCCUGUCCUUGUUUUGCUACGUGGUGAACUUUUGCAACAUCCCAUCUUGAUCAAGAUGGGCCUCCACCAUUUGACUGAUA